rnacentral:rRNA from 1 species
GAUACCCUAUUAUUGCAAGUGUAAAUUUUAACCUUAAACUAUUAAUAGUUAUGUUCUUUAAAAUUAAAUGAUUUGGCGGUAUUUUAGUCUUUUCAGAGGAACCUGUUUUUUGAUUGAUAAUCCACGAUAAUUUUUACUUUAGUUAUUAAUUUGCAUAUCGUCGUUUAUAAAAAUUUCAUAAGAAUAUAAAUUUUUUUGAUUUUUAAUGAGAAAGUAAUUCAGAUCAAGGUGUAGUUUAUAUUAAAGGUAAAAUGGGUUACAUUAUAUUUAUGUGUGGUUCUAUGUUUUAAAAGCAUAGAUAAAAUGGAUUUGAUAGUAAGUCUUUUAUUUUUGAAGAUUGAUUUAGCUCUAAAAUAUGCACACAUCGCC